rnacentral:rRNA from 1 species
ACUCCUACGGGAGGCAGCAGUGGGGAAUAUUGCACAAUGGGCGCAAGCCUGAUGCAGCCAUGCCGCGUGUGUGAAGAAGGCCUUCGGUUGUAAGCACUUUCAGUUGUGAGGAAGGUGGUGUCGUUAAUAGCGGCAUCAUUUUGACGUUUUAGCAACAGAAGAAGCACCGGCUAACUCCGUGCCAGCAGCCGCGGUAAUACGGAGGGUGCGAGCGUUAAUCGGAAUUACUGGGCGUAAAGCGCAUGCAGGUGGUUUGUUAAGUCAGAUGUGAAAGCCCGGGGCUCAACCUCGGAACUGCAUUUGAAACUGGCAGACUAGAGUACUGUAGAGGGGGUAGAAUUUCAGGUGUAG